rnacentral:lncRNA from 1 species
UUCUUCUACCUCAGCCUCCCAAAUAGCUGGGAUUACAGGCACGCGCCAUCAUGCCCAGCUAAAUUUUUGCAUUUUUAAUAGAGAUCGGGUUUUGCCAUGUUGGCCAGACUGGUCUCAAACUCCUGACCUCAGAUGAUCCACCCGCCUCGGCCUCCAAAAGUGCUAGGAUUUACAGGUGUGAGCCACUGUGCCCGGCCCCAGGCUUUAUUUCAAGAAAGCAUUCUUAAGAAGCUAUGAAAUGCCUCUGAAAAUUCCUUGCAACCUUGGAGUAACUUGAUCCGGAGCCUAGACACUUGAUUCUAGUCCUUGAUUUUCUUAUCACUUUCUGUAAACAUUGAAUAAACUACUGACUCUGCAUUGCCUUAGCAAACAGAGUUUGUGUACAUACUGCAUCAUGGGGAGUUAACAAAACCAACUGAAUUCACAGUGGCUGCUAUGAUCAGGACAACUAACGUGGUUGAACUAGAAUGGAUCUUAGGAAGUCACUUUUCUUUUGCCAGUAACACAUGCAUUCUUGUGCAUGAAGCAAUGUAUGGCUGACAGCCAUCAACUGAAUUACUCAACAGCUCCUCUUUGGUGCAAUGCACUGUGUUGGACUCUGAUACCCUGAAUUCUUGAUCCUCAAGGCAUCGCCAGGACAUUGGACUUUAGGAUGCAAGAGAAGAUAAGGAAGACAAGAUCUCAACCACUUUCAGCAAAGCUUUGCGGAGAAUGCAACAUCCUUCAAGACACCAUGAAGCUCCACGCAUCUGGUCAUCUUGUUUCUUCAGGGAAUAAAUUUAUUGUUCUCUGCUUCAGGGCAGGCACACUUGGCCAGUAAAGAAAAUCCCCCCAGCAGAGAAUUGCAGAUACUCACAGCAAGAAGCCUUUCUUGUGAAUGGAGGAUGGAUGUGGAGCUGGUCCGAGCAGUCUGCCUACUGCAUCUGCUAUGACACCCAGCAAACUGGAAGGGAAAAGCAGUUACAAAGUUUCCAACCAGCACAAAUUCCAUAGUCAGGU